GAAUGGAUGAAAGAGUUAUGGAACAAAUGGAGAGGAUACUUGCAUGCAACCUAUGUGAAGAAUAAGCCAAUCCAACAGGCUCUUAAAAUUUUUCCAAAGCGAGUAGACAAGAAAGAUUGGUAGUGGUUAAUAAAAGAACAUUUUACUUCAGAAAGUUUUCAGGCAAGAAGCAACAGGAAUUCAGCAAAUCGAGCUAAGUUGAAGAUGCCUCAUCAUAUUGGUAGCAAGCCUAUUCGAGAGGUUAUUUAUCAAAAGGGCGGGAAAUACGGCAAUCCACCAGAUUUAGGGACUAUUUUCUUUGAGACUCGUAAGAAAGAUAACAAGCUUGUUGAACCUGAAGCAAUUGAAAAACAUUCUCAGAUCAAAGAAAUAGUUCAAUCGGAGCGCUCUCUAUCUAGUAUAGAGAUUGUAGAAAAAUGUUGUGGACCUCAAACUCAUAGCCAUGUAUUUGGAUUUGGGGGGUGGAGUAAAGGCGAAAGAAUUGAAAGGUGGAACUUCUUCAAAGGCUGAAUUAUUGUCUGCGCUACAUUCGACUCAAAAGGAAAACAAAUCCUUGAAUGAGACAAACAAGUCCUUGAAUGAUCGCUUGUCUGCCUUAGAAGAUGAGAUGAAAGAAAUUAAGAAAAUGAAAGAAUUAUUUGCUGCUCAAUGAUCAUUUGUCCCGCCUACGACAUCGCCCGUUUUUCUGAAUGACCACUGAUUUUGUCUGCUAACCAAGCUUGAUGAUGUUGUUGGAUUACACCUAAUGAAUUUAGAUUGCUUUUGGGGUUUUGAAGAUUAAAGUUAGAAGUCAAGAUGCAAGUUUAGAAGAUGCACGCGAACUCAUUCUUAUUUUUCUAGGAAUGUUAUGUAGAACUCGGUAUCAUACUCUAGCUCGGGUUGUUAGCAAUGUUUUUUUGUUAAGGUGUCGAGCAAAUAUUGAAACUAACAUCAUGGGAUGUUAACCAUUUUAUUGUAAUUAAUAUAA